rnacentral:lncRNA from 1 species
GAUAAACUUUAAACAGCAAUAAUGUACAGGAAAGUAAGAUUUACAAAUAAGUCAACAUGACUGAAAUGGUCAAUUGACCCCCUAAGGAGUUAUUGUCCUUUAUAGUCAAUUUUUAACAAUUUUUAUAAAAUUUGUAAAUUUUUACUAACAUUUUCCACUGAAACUACUGGCCCAAGUUCAUUAUAGAUAGAGAUAACUGUAAGCAGCAAGAAUGUUCAGUAAAGUAAGACGUACAAACA